GCCUGGCAAAACUGCUUAAGGCACAGUUAAAAGCAGCUCAGGGGAAGGAUGAAAGCUGGGUUGGGGGAAAUGACAAUCUUCCCUCGCAGACGCUCCCCUUUGCCCCUUUCAGCUGAGCACAACUGCAGACGAGUUCGUUGCCCACUGGUCGCUCGAAUGCCACCUCCAAACCCAGCACAGGAGAGACAAAGAAGCAGGUCCAAAUGAAUUUGGUCCGCAUGUUUCACAAAGCGCUUACGUGUUCUGGCACUACUACUGUGGAAACAAAGAAGUGACACAGAUCGUGUGGAGGUUUGAAGGGAGCACGCUGCAUAUGAACCGUAGGGAACUGUUUGUUUUGGCGGUGGCCGCGAUUCCUGUGCUCCCUGCGGCUUCUCCCCUGUGCCCACGUCCCUCCUCCUCGCCUGGGGUCAAGCUGGGACGUUCAAAACCAAACGCUGCCCCCCGUGUUUUGCAGGUAGAGGUGAGCAAAGUGAAGCAUCGCUUCCACUUACAACUGUAAUUCAAGAAACGCUCUGCAUUUAACAGCUUUUUAGGACAGCGGGCAAGCCUGUCUCCUCCCGCUCCCCGCGCUCGGCUGCUCUCCAGUUCGUGGCC
rnacentral:lncRNA from 1 species